rnacentral:rRNA from 1 species
UACGUAGGGGGCGAGCGUUAUCCGGAUUUACUGGGCGUAAAGCGGGUGUAGGUGGCCUGUCAAGUCAGAUGUGAAAUCUCCCGGCUCAACUGGGAGGGUGCAUUUGAUACUGAUGGGCUAGAGUGCAGCAGAGGGCGAUGGAAUUCCCGGUGUAGUGGUGAAAUGCGUAGAUAUCGGGAAGAACACUAGUGGCGAAGGCGGUCACCUGGGCUGUAACUGACACUGAGACCCGAAGGCGUGGGGAGCAAACAGG